UUCAGUCCUCACUUGUCCUCUCCUUCCACUGUUAUCCACUUCUCUACUCUUCUCCAAUGACUAAUCAUAACACUUCACUAUUCUGCCCCCUGCUGCCGCUCGCUGCCGUAUCAUGGAAGAAGAGAGAAAUUACAUGAAAAAGAAAGUAAUUGACAUUAGCCACAAGUAUGCUCUUGAUUUGCCUGCUUAUGGUUCCAAAAAUGGACUGGGAAACUUCAUAAAACUUGAGACUAGCAUCUACCAACUUUGAAUGGUCCAGUUCUUGUAGUUGUAGUGGACACCCCACGGGACAAGAAUAUUACAGCUGAAGUGAUGAGGUCAUUGAACAUACCUCGGGGAGUGAAACGUGUUCUUUUUCAAACACUAAACACAGACAGGAGGCUGAUGUACAAGAAAGAAUUUGAUUCCUCCUAUGCUGCAUUCACCUCAGAUGGAGCAGAGUAUUUGGUCCAGAAUACUGACAUCAAACUCGUUGGUGUUGAUUACUUAUCUGUUGCCAUUAAUCCCAAGGAAGAGCUCGUUAAAGUUCAUCAUCAACUACUUCUGGAUCCUAAAGUAAGUCCGUUUGCCUAAUUUGAUUGAGUUUAAGGUUUGUGUACCUCCACAAGAUAGUGGUAACGUUUGCAUACACUCCACUCUCCCCAAACCCCACUUGUGGGAUUUCCUGGGAUAUGUUGUUGUUGUUAAGUACAUAUAGAU